rnacentral:rRNA from 1 species
AGUCGAACGAAAUCUUCGGAUUUAGUGGCGGACGGGUGAGUAACGCGUGAGAAUCUGGCUUCAGGUCUGGGACAACCACUGGAAACGGUGGCUAAUACCGGAUGUGCCGAGAGGUGAAAGGUUAACUGCCUGAAGAUGAGCUCGCGUCUGAUUAGCUAGUUGGUAGAGUAAGAGCCUACCAAGGCGACGAUCAGUAGCUGGUCUGAGAGGACGAUCAGCCACACUGGGACUGAGACACGGCCCAGACUCCUACGGGAGGCAGCAGUGGGGAAUUUUCCGCAAUGGGCGAAAGCCUGACGGAGCAAUACCGCGUGAGGGAGGAAGGCUCUUGGGUCGUAAACCUCUUUUCUCAGGGAAGAACACAAUGACGGUACCUGAGGAAUAAGCAUCGGCUAACUCCGUGCCAGCAGCCGCGGUAAUACGGAGGAUGCAAGCGUUAUCCGGAAUGAUUGGGCGUAAAGCGUCCGCAGGUGGCAAUGUAAGUCUGCUGUUAAAGAGUCUAGCUCAACUAGAUNAGAGCAGUGGAAACUACAUAGCUAGAGUACGUUCGGGGCAGAGGGAAUUCCUGGUGUAGCGGUGAAAUGCGUAGAGAUCAGGAAGAACACCAGUGGCGAAGGCGCUCUGCUAGGCCGUAACUGACACUGAGGGACGAAAGCUAGGGGAGCGAAUGGGAUUAGAUACCCCAGUAGUCCUAGCCGUAAACGAUGGAUACUAGGCGUGGCUUGUAUCGACCCGAGCCGUGCCGUAGCUAACGCGUUAAGUAUCCCGCCUGGGGAGUACGCCGGCAACGGUGAAACUCAAAGGAAUUGACGGGGGCCCGCACAAGCGGUGGAGUAUGUGGUUUAAUUCGAUGCAACGCGRAGAACCUUACCAAGGCUUGACAUGUCGCGAAUCCYGGUGAAAGCUGGGA